UACGAAGGGGGCUAGCGUUGUUCGGAAUUACUGGGCGUAAAGCGCGUGUAGGCGGGUCUUUUAGUCAGGGGUGAAAUGCCAAGGCUCAACCUUGGAACUGCCUUUGAUACUGGAGACCUUGAGUCCGGGAGAGGUGAGUGGAAUUGCGAGUGUAGAGGUGAAAUUCGUAGAUAUCUGGAGGAACACCGGUGGCGAAGGCGACGUCCUGGACCGGCAUUGACGCUGAGGCGCGAAAGCCAGGGGAGCAAACAGG
rnacentral:rRNA from 1 species